GGCCAGUUAGCUCACUUGAUUAGAGCAUGGUGGUGAUAACACUAAGGUCGUGGGUUCUAUCCCCGUUUGGUCC
rnacentral:tRNA from 1 species